UCAUUGGGGGUUCAGUGGUAGAAUUCUUGUCUUCCACGCGAGAGACCUGGGUUUGAUUCCCAGCAAAUGCA
rnacentral:tRNA from 1 species